rnacentral:sRNA from 1 species
AGUAACUAGUUGUUCAACAAAGCAUUCACUUCCCAGCCCAGCUCACAGCUAGGCUUUACUCUGCAGCCUGCGGUACAGUGACACAUGGCUACCUGACCAAACUCCAGUCACAGGUCUGCAUAUGCUACAACUGGAAUGAAGCCUUCUGUGGAGGUCGAAAGUAUAACUACUCCAAAUGAAAGGAAUCGCAGCUGUGGGACAUCCACAGGCUUCUUUAAGAGAAACCCCAUGAACAGACAAGGCUAUGAGGACUGUACACCUAAUUUUUUAUAGGCACCUUCGUCACAGGGUGAUGGGAUAAGUUCUGUUUUUUGUUAUGAUAAAAUGCAUGUAGCAUAGAGUUCAGCAGUUUUACCCACGCAAAAGGUAGAAUCUGGUGUCACAGUUGCAUUCAAACACUUUGCUGCCAUCCACACUAUAUAUGUCUGAAAAAUGGGUUCUUUACACCCCAUUAUCCACCUCAUCCACACUUCCUUUUUAAAAGGCUGUGCAUUUAUCUUCAAUAUCUAGUACUUUUUGAUUUAAACAUUCAUAAACUCUCUAGAAAAAUCACUGUCAUUUUGUAUUAAUUCAAAAUGUACAAUCACCACUAAGUCUAAUAACUAAAAUAAAAUUAUAUUCAGUAAUUUCAUCAAUAUAAAUAUUGAAAUAAUAAA